CGGCACCGGUACUCCUCCGAUCCCUUUGACCGGGGCCUGGUCUCGGACCAAUUGUUCCUCGGGAAUUCCCAUCUGCUGAAAGACCCGGUAUGGCAGCAGAUUCACCUUGCUCCCGUCAUCCACCAAAAUCUUCUUCACCCUGUAAUUGUGAAUAACGGCUUCAAUGACAAGGGCAUCGUCAUGGGGCAUCUGAAUGCCCUGAGCAUCCUCCGGGGAGAAAGUGAUGGUUACUGGGGAGUGCUCGACGACCUGCAUAACCUCGGCACUGCUACUUUCUCCCUCUCUACUCCUCUUUUUUCCCCUUCGGCUCAUCCGACCGCCUGUGCCUCUAACGAUCAUGUUGAUGGUUCCACUGGACCCAUCAUUCACUGGGUUAGCUCCCGUUCUCCUCGGCGCUUGAACCGCCG
rnacentral:lncRNA from 1 species